rnacentral:sRNA from 1 species
UAUAACGAAAUUAGACUUUAUUAGUUUUUUAUGCUGGUUAAUCCAAAGGGAGUAUCUGCGUAUUCGCGAAGUCGAUUAUUGCCCGGUAUCAAGAAGGGGGUAAAAAAAAAGCGCCCGCAGGCGCUUUUGAGAA